AGAGUUUGAUCCUGGCUCAGGACGAACGCUGGCGGCGUGCCUAACACAUGCAAGUCGAACGAGAAUCUAUGGAAAGAGGCUUCGGCCAAUUGAAGUAGAGGACAGUGGCGGACGGGUGAGUAACGCGUGAGCAACCUGCCUCGGAGUGGGGGACAACAGGGGGAAACCUCUGCUAAUACCGCAUAAUGUCAUUGGGUGGCAUCACUUAAUGACCAAAGAUUUAUUGCUCUGAGAUGGGCUCGCGUCUGAUUAGGUAGUUGGUGAGGUAACGGCUCACCAAGCCUACGAUCAGUAGCCGGGUUGAGAGACUGAACGGCCACAUUGGGACUGAGAUACGGCCCAGACUCCUACGGGAGGCAGCAGUGGGGAAUAUUGGGCAAUGGGCGAAAGCCUGACCCAGCAACGCCGCGUGAAGGAAGAAGGCUUUCGGGUUGUAAACUUCUUUUACCAGGGACGAAGGACGUGACGGUACCUGGAGAAAAAGCUCCGGCUAACUACGUG
rnacentral:rRNA from 1 species